ACUCCUACGGGAGGCAGCAGUGGGGAAUAUUGCACAAUGGGCGCAAGCCUGAUGCAGCAACGCCGCGUGUGUGAAGAAGGCCUUCGGGUUGUAAAGCACUUUCAGUUGUGAGGAAGGUGGUGUCGUUAAUAGCGGCAUCAUUUGACGUUAGCAACAGAAGAAGCACCGGCUAACUCCGUGCCAGCAGCCGCGGUAAUACGGAGGGUGCGAGCGUUAAUCGGAAUUACUGGGCGUAAAGCGCAUGCAGGUGGUUUGUUAAGUCAGAUGUGAAAGCCCGGGGCUCAACCUCGGAAUUGCAUUUGAAACUGGCAGGCUAGAGUCUUGUAGAGGGGGGUAGAAUUUCAGGUGUAGCGGUGAAAUGCGUAGAGAUCUGAAGGAAUACCAGUGGCGAAGGCGGCCCCCCUGGACAAAGACUGACGCUCAGAUGCGAAAAGCGUGGGGAGCAAACAGGAUUAGAUA
rnacentral:rRNA from 1 species